UUUCACUUCGACAAUUUUGCAGAAUGAAACAAACUGGGGUAUGUUAAAGAAAAGUUUUCUUAAAACAUGGAGAGUAAGUCUGCGGUUUCAGCGCCUUUACUUCAUAUUUUGUUCAAGCUGAAAAGAAGCUGUUUUCAAUAUGUGUAGGAGAGGUGGGGACUGGAACAGGGGAUAAAGAUGUCUUCCGAUUAGGACGACUUUCGUGGUGCUAUUUCCACGUGUUGGAUUUUGUUUGCUCUUAUCUGAGAAAUAGAC